GGUCGGAAGAUGUUCUUGCGGUUUAGGCCUACUGAGGCCAUUGGAGGAGAGAGGCAGGCAAGGGAUGGGCCCAGGCCUGUCUGCGACCUGAAGUGAAGGAGCAGCCAUGGUGGUGGUGGUGGCAGUGAGGAAGGGCCCGGUCAACCGCUGCUGUUGCUCCUCUAGUUUCACAGGUCAAUAGGAAGCCAUUUGCAAGUUUGUCAGACACCCACCAUCUACCUGCUAUGGGCCCUGCCUGCCCCCUACUUCUCUUGUGUAGUCUAUUUGCUCUAUUUGACCCUGCCUUGCUGAGACCAUGGGAAUGAACUGAUAAAGGAGCAUUUUAUAUAUGCACUUCUGACAAUGGUGAGCUUGGCAUCAAAGCACCAGGACAGUGUCAGGGAGAGUGCCAGCCCUUGUGUUCAUCUGAUCAUUGACAAGGCUGGAGUGUGUUGCAGCACCCUAAAAAGAAGGCUUAUGAAAUUCCCCCUGCAUCACACUGUUGUAUCUCUUGCCAGCAAAUGCUGUGCCUUUAGGCUACUCUCAUUUGAAGUGCUUUUUGGCAACUGUUGCAAGGGGUUCAGUCUAGCUGUAAAUAGUUCAAAGGGCUCUAGUCCUUAAUUUGCCACCUUUUUUAAAGCUAUACUUUCUUGGGCAUCAGCUGUAGAAGUCAGUUUAUCAUCCAGCCUCUGGUGGCAGAAAAGACGUGUGAGAUUUCUUCCAUGCAUUCUGGGAAAACCUUACCUGAGCCAAGCUGCAAUUUAUGAACUGACAGGAAGCAUGAGCCACAUUAUAGCCACGUACAAGGCUAUAUGGAAAUUCCACGAGAACUUGCUUCUAAUAAAAAGUACAAACUGAUCAUUUGUGGUUGCUUGCUCAAAAAGAAUGCCAUGGAAAGAAAGGGAAAUAUCUCAUUGCUGAUGGGAAUGUUGCACAUUUAAGCAUUAGUGCAAUACCAAAAGUACUUCUGGAUUCCAAGGCUAAGUUGGACAAAGACAAAACUGACUCUGCAGAAGACAAGAGACAUUUUGAAGGCAAGAAAGCUUGCCCCUGACAAGUGUUAAGAAGAAAAAGAAGGGAAGCACAGAGCGGUCUGGAUGAAAUGAAGACAUGAUUUGCAAGUAUGUGUGGAAAGAUCUUCCUUUGUGCUAAUUUGUCUAUUGGACUGAAUGGCAAGAUCAACAGCAACCAGAAGCAGAAUGUGCUGAAUUGAUGGUGCUGGUCAAGUGGCUGUCCUUGUCCCAUUUGUGAUUCUGUAUUCCUGGAUUAUUCCUAACAAAUAAUGCACCCACAGGUCAGCCAAGGAAGCCCAUUGACUUGCCUUAGGCCUCUUGUAGAUAUUAGGAUGUUUUGAAUCUUGGCAUGGUUAUUUGGAUUAUAUAUUAGGGAUGUGCACUAACCUGUUUGGUGUUCUAUUCUUAGAACACCAAAGAGGUCCCCCAUGUUCGAACUAGUGGUGUGCACGGUUCGGGAGCAGCGUGGUCCGGCACUUGGGGGGGUGUCUCUUUAAGGGGGGGUGGUAGUACUUACCCCCCCGCUACUCUUCCCCCUCGGGCGCUGGCCCCUGCCCUGAUCGUUGUCUGUCUAUGCCUUCAACGAAGAAGAGCUGGCAGAGCGCAUGCACGCAGCGUGACAUAUGUGGCCCGUGUGCGCGGAGUGGAGACGAGCACGCGCGCCGUGAAGGGUGCAUGCGCUCCACCAGCUCUUCUUCGUUGAAGGCAUAGACAGACAACGACAGGGGCAGGGGCAGCAGGGAGGAACUCUGCCGCCCCAAAAAGAUUUUUAAAAGAACCAGCGCCGGAGGGGGAAGAGCAACGGGGUGUGUGUGUAAGUACUACCACCACCCCUUAAAGAGACACCCCCCCGCCCUUCCGAACUGCCGGACUGCCGGAAUUCCGGACCGGUCCGGCGGCUUUCCCAAUGGUUCCGAACCAAACCAUGCACACCACUAGUUCGAACUGGUUCGAGCACGAGAGCAGGGAUGACUUUAAGGAUGGCGGAGGGUGCACUCCAUCCCCCCCCCACCGCCACCACUGUUGUUUCACUGACUGGAAGUGACUGGAAGUGCCUUGUGCAUGUGCCAUGGGUGCGCAGGCGCAUGUCAUGUGUGCAUGCGUGGAUGCGAUGUGCGUGCGUGCGUGCGCGCACCUGCAAUACACACACACAUGCAUGGCACUUCCAGUCACUUCCAGUCAGUGAAACAAUGGGGUGGCAAGCAGGUACGCUGCCAUCCCACCAGACUAUUUAUACACAGAGUGCCAGAGAGGGAAGCGCCAUGGUGGGGGAGGUAGGUGCACCCUUCCCCACCAUCAGCUCGAAAGGAGCCAGUUCCGUGCACAUCCCUAUUAUAUAUUGCCUCUGGUGUGGUUUGUGAUGGAGUUGUACAGUUCCAUUUCCAUAUCAACAGUGUGCCUGCUAAAAUAAAUCCAUUGCUGGAUUUCUUCUCCCGCCCGUCCACUUCUUGUUUGGUGAUGUGGAUUCUUGUUGUGCACAAAUGGCAAUAUACAUUAUCGGUAUAAUAAUUUGUUCCAACACCUUCCUCUGUCCCUUUUCUCCCUCUAAUUGCUUUUUAAAUGCAAGUCAUGUUUUUAUUAAAUUUGGGUGGUUGGGAAUUGUGUACUUUCUGGAAUCAGUGCUGCUUCUUGGAACAAUAGAUGUGUGCUGUGGGAGGAAUUUCCCAAGUUUUUUAAAAACAUGUUUUGAAAAUCUAAAAUGAACUAAAGCAGACAAAAAGAUCAGAAAAUAAAAAUAGAAGUUGGUACUUUUUCCAGCUUGAUUGUACAACAGCACUCUGAUGAGUUCAUAAUUAUGAGCAGCAGAGAGGAACAACAGGCCACCAGAGUCUGCCUUGAGUCCUAUCAUAAGGAACAAUCAACUUUUUAAAUGAUGGAUGUGUGACAGUAAUAAGAGGGCAGUACAGAAACUAACACAGCCAUUGAAUACAUGCACAGCACUGCCUCCAAGUAUAUACUGUGCUGAGAAGGUGGCUUGCAGAUAUGUUAAACUGAAUUUAGAUGUGCCCUUCAGUGAUCCCAUUGUGGCUCAAAUGGGUUCACUAAAGGCCCUCCAGACGUCAGUACAGGUCCUGAUCUGCUAUGUCACUGAUGUUUCUGCAGAGUUUUAGUAGCAGCCAACUUGUGACUACUGGCAGUCACCAACAGAAGGAUGCCUCAGUCAGAUCCUUUACAGCGCCAUGCUUUCCCCAGCACUCUGAUGAAUCCAAUACGGGCCACUCUUUUACACUAGCAAAAGGCCCAAUAUUACAGUGGGUAGAGUGUGUGCAGAGGGAGGGCUUGUAUAAUGAAAGCACAGGAAUGCACUGUGCUGCAUAUGGGACCCCUCUCAGUAAGGGUCAGAUCAUGCAAUGUCAGGGAUAGAGGCCAAGUUUUGCCCCACCCCUACAUUACAAAGUUGACUCAAUGUGCAUGGUCUUAUUCUUCCAUGGGAGUGAAUGGCCAACAUGCACAUAUAUGGGAGGAAUUAAAGGAGGACACUCAGAGACCAUGGUGGGGGACCUGUUCCCUGUCCCAUAUUUCUUAAAUCUGCUCUCUGCAUAGCCCCCAUUCUGGAUUUUUAUUUCUUGGCCAUACUGAAGUAUGAUAAUGUUAAGAAAUAGGUUUUAUAAUUUAUUUUAUGGAAAUGGGUUUUAUGGCCUAUUGGGGGGAUUUGACCAACCCAAAUAAUACAGAACACAUUUGCACACAUUUAGAUACAUUUAUGUAGAUUCUGACGUCCAUCCUCCCCAUUGGCUCCUCAGCCAAGCACAUGUACAAAAUUUCUGAACCUGCGGUUCCUCUCGUACUGAGCAGGAUUACUAUUGCAACAACACAUCCUCAGUAGGGUAAAACUAACCUGUCUCAUGAUGGUCUAUCCUCUCUGUCAUGUUGUUCCCCGGGCAGAU